UACGUGGGUGGCAAGCGUUGUCCGGAAUUAUUGGGCGUAAAGCGCGCGCAGGUGGUUUCUUAAGUCUGAUGUGAAAGCCCACGGCUCAACCGUGGAGGGUCAUUGGAAACUGGGGAACUUGAGUGCAGAAGAGGAAAGUGGAAUUCCAAGUGUAGCGGUGAAAUGCGUAGAGAUUUGGAGGAACACCAGUGGCGAAGGCGACUUUCUGGUCUGUAACUGACACUGAGGCGCGAAAGCGUGGGGAGCAAACAGG
rnacentral:rRNA from 1 species